rnacentral:rRNA from 1 species
AUACAUGCAGUCGAGCGAAUGGAUUGAGAGCUUGCUCUCAAGAAGUUAGCGGCGGACGGGUGAGUAACACGUGGGUAACCUGCCCAUAAGACUGGGAUAACUCCGGGAAACCGGGGCUAAUACCGGAUAACAUUUUGAACUGCAUGGUUCGAAAUUGAAAGGCGGCUUCGGCUGUCACUUAUGGAUGGACCCGCGUCGCAUUAGCUAGUUGGUGAGGUAACGGCUCACCAAGGCAACGAUGCGUAGCCGACCUGAGAGGGUGAUCGGCCACACUGGGACUGAGACACGGCCCAGACUCCUACGGGAGGCAGCAGUAGGGAAUCUUCCGCAAUGGACGAAAGUCUGACGGAGCAACGCCGCGUGAGUGAUGAAGGCUUUCGGGUCGUAAAACUCUGUUGUUAGGGAAGAACAAGUGCUAGUUGAAUAAGCUGGCACCUUGACGGUACCUAACCAGAAAGCCACGGCUAACUACGUGCCAGCAGCCGCGGUAAUACGUAGGUGGCAAGCGUUAUCCGGAAUUAUUGGGCGUAAAGCGCGCGCAGGUGGUUUCUUAAGUCUGAUGUGAAAGCCCACGGCUCAACCGUGGAGGGUCAUUGGAAACUGGGAGACUUGAGUGCAGAAGAGGAAAGUGGAAUUCCAUGUGUAGCGGU